rnacentral:tRNA from 1 species
GACUCCGUAGCUCAGUUGGUAGAGCACAUCACUUUUAAUGAUGGGGUCCUGGUCUGAGCCCCAGCGGGGUCA